GCCUGCGGCUUAAUUUGACUCAACACGGGAAAACUUACCCGGCCCGGACACUGGAAGGAUUGACAGAUUAAGAGCUCUUUCUUGAUUCAGUGGAUGGUGGUGCAUGGCCGUUCUUAGUUGGUGGAGCGAUUUGUCUGGUUAAUUCCGAUAACGAACGAGACUCUAGCCUACUAAAUAGACGAACGAUCACUGGAGUCGUUCGAUCUUCUUAGAGGGACAAGCGGCUUUUAGCCGCACGAGACAGAGCAAUAACAGGUCUGUGAUGCCCUUAGAUGUCCGGGGCCGCACGCGCGCUACACUGAAGGAAUCAGCGUGCGUUUACCCCUGUCCGGCAGGACUGGGUAACCCGAUCAACCUCCUUCGUGAUAGGGAUAGGGGCUUGUAAUUCUUGCCCUUGAACGAGGAAUUCCCAGUAAGCACGAGUCAUAAGCUCGUGUUGAUUACGUCCCUGCCCUUUGUACACACCGCCCGUCGCUACUACCGAUUGAAUGAUUUAGUGAGGUCUUCGGACUGGCGCUCGGAGCGGCCUUACUGGUCGCGCCGGCGUGCCGGAAAGAUGACCGAACUUGAUUAUUUAGAGGAAGUAAAAGUCGUAACAAGGUUUCCGUAGGUGAACCUGCGGAAGGAUCAUUACCGAUUCGGCGAGGCCGAGAGCCUUGUCCGGUCAUAAUACAUGCAGACAGAGCAAUAGACCGGUUGGGGGUGUCUGUUCCCGCGGCAUUGUGCCCUGGCGCGAAGCGUCUUGGCGUCGCGGGGGUGUCCGUCCUACACAAGAGGACAGACGCUAGGCGUAAGAGCAACCGCCACCCCCGGAGAGACGGGACGCCGAGUGCGUGCCCGAACGGACGAGUCGUAGCCCAGUGCUUCGUCGUCCGAAAGAAAAGUAACUAUGACGAGAGAGAAGUAACUAUGACGAAACAGGGGUAGCUGGCCCGACUCGGACCGGGUUAAGUCCGAGAAAGAGAGUCUAUUAGACUCUCCAAGUAUCAAAUGCCUCGUCAUCUAAUUGACGCAAAAGUCGGACAAAGUCCGGCCCAGAGAGGAGAGGAACGGCGGGAUUUAUGAGAGAGAAUAGGAGCGAUAAAAAGGCGGAGGGGCGGCGCCUUAUGAGAGAGAGGAGGAGAGAGAAAUUCCCCGCUAUGGCGGGGAAAAAGAAACAGGGGUAACUGGCCCGACUCGGACCGGGUAAAGUCCGAGAAAUAUAGAGCGUCUACGGACGCUCGAGAAACUUCUACGGGAGUUUUCUCUUUAAAAUACCACUACUUCAAUAACAAGCGUCUACGGACGCUCGAGAAACUUCUACGGGAGUUUUCUCUUUAAAGAAAUGCCUCAUACUCGUCAUCUAAAAUUGUCGGACAAAGUCCGAGAAAUAUACAGCGUCUACGGACGCUUGGUACAUGUGCUUAAACAUAUAAAAGCGUCUACGGACGCUCGAGAAACUUCUACGGGAGUUUUCUCUUUAAAAUACCACUACUUCAAUAACAAGCGUCUACGGACGCUCGAGAAACUUCUACGGGAGUUUUCUCUUUAAAGAAAUGCCUCAUACUCGUCAUCUAAAAUUGUCGGACAAAGUCCGAGAAAUAUACAGCGUCUACGGACGCUUGGUACAUGUGCUUAAACAUAUAAAAGCGUCUACGGACGCUCGAGAAACUUCUACGGGAGUUUUCUCUUAAAACAAAUGCCUCAAACUCGUCAUCUAAAAUUGUCGGACAAAGUCCGAGAAAUAUACGGCGUCUACGGACGCUCGAGAAACUUCUACGGGAGUUUUCUCUUAAAACAAAUGCCUCGAACUCGUCAUCUAAAAUUGUCGGACAAAGUCCGAAAUAAUAACAAAUGCCUCGGCAUCUAUGUUGUCGGACAAAGUCCGAGAGACCAGUCUCUGAAAUAGCAAAUGCCUCGGCUUAAUUAAAAGGAGAGUAACUAUGACACGGAGAGCAGUGACGGGCCACCGCCCGGCGACGAGGGGCCAGGCGGCCGAUGGAGGCCAACCCGCGUGGACCACUAUAGCCGGUUCCGCCUCCGCAGAAAAGGGUGAAGUCCGAAGUGGUCUAGGACGAUCCCAAGAGGCCGCCACGGGUUUCCGAGAAGCCGGCACCGGCUGCGGUUGCUGUAUCUCUCCGAGACAAUGUAGGUAAGGCUCUAAAUGAGACGGCAAUACUAUAAAGAGGAUCUCUCCAAGCUCUUUUUUGCCGUCUAAGUAAAUAAAAUGGCAAGGUUAUAAAGAGGAUCUCUCCAAGCUCUUUCUUGCCAAAUAUAAAGUUACUCUCCCAGUGAACCAAUGUAGGAAGUUGAGGACUGGCUCUCUCGGAGUGUACGCAAUGUAGGUAAGAGAUGGGCGCCUACUCUCGGGGUCUCGGCCCCGGGGUGUGCCUUCGCCGUCGGCGGAGGUGCUAGGCGUAACGAGUCGAAAGGCCGGCCCGAAACUUUGAAACUCUGUAACUAUGACAUAGAGCUAAUAAUAAGUACAACUCGAAGUGGUGGAUCACUCGGCUCACGGGUCGAUGAAGAACGCAGCCAGCUGCGAGACUUGGUGUGAAUUGCAGGACACAAGUCCGAAGUGGUCUAGGACGAUCCCAAGAGGCCGCCACGGGUUUCCGAGAAGCCGGCACCGGCUGCGGUUGCUGUAUCUCUCCGAGACAAUGUAGGUAAGGCUCUAAAUGAGACGGCAAUACUAUAAAGAGGAUCUCUCCAAGCUCUUUUUUGCCGUCUAAGUAAAUAAAAUGGCAAGGUUAUAAAGAGGAUCUCUCCAAGCUCUUUCUUGCCAAAUAUAAAGUUACUCUCCCAGUGAACCAAUGUAGGAAGUUGAGGACUGGCUCUCUCGGAGUGUACGCAAUGUAGGUAAGAGAUGGGCGCCUACUCUCGGGGUCUCGGCCCCGGGGUGUGCCUUCGCCGUCGGCGGAGGUGCUAGGCGUAACGAGUCGAAAGGCCGGCCCGAAACUUUGAAACUCUGUAACUAUGACAUAGAGCUAAUAAUAAGUACAACUCGAAGUGGUGGAUCACUCGGCUCACGGGUCGAUGAAGAACGCAGCCAGCUGCGAGACUUGGUGUGAAUUGCAGGACAC
rnacentral:rRNA from 1 species